rnacentral:misc_RNA from 1 species
CAACCCUCGAGCCCCGCCGGGCGACCACACCGGCGGCGGGCUCGGUGUUGGGGACCGGCCCAGGCCGCCCCCGAAAUGCAGUGGCGACCUCGCCCGCGGCCUCCCCUGCGCAGUAGCACAACCUCGCACCGGAGCGCGGAGACGGUCACGCCGUAAAACGCCCAACUUCUUUCAG